rnacentral:tRNA from 1 species
GUUUGAGUAGCUUAAUAUUGAAUAGCGUUGCUUUGAAGCAGCAAAGGUGGGUAAUCUUCCCCUCAGACA